CUUUGCCACUACAGUGUUGUCUACUGGGUUUUCGCUAGUAUCGCUGAAGCAGGUGCAUUUCCCUGUAUAUUAGAAGUAUUCGUGAUCAAGUGUACAUUGCUCACGCACUGAUUAGUCUAGUCAUAGUGCUGUAUUCGUGGACAGUGCUGGAGUUGUACUGUAAUAGUACUCACGGGAAUACCAGAGCUGGUAGCGUCUCUUACACAGAAUGGAAAUAAUGUUGUAUCCGUGGACAGUGCUGGAGUUGUAUUGGUGUAUCCAUCUAUUGAUGUAAUAGGAUUCCGUGAAUACCUGAGUUGGAAGCGUCUCUCAUGAGGAUUGGAGGUAGUGCUUUGAAUAGUGCUGUGCAUAUUGUGUUUUUGGACAGUGCUUAAGCUGUACCGCUAUGUUCCCCCGUGUUUGGAUCGACUAUAUUCGUGGGUAACACUUUGCCAAGUGUAUCACCUGAGAAAGCUGUAGUAGUUGGAUAGCAUCCCGUGAUACAUAUAUCCUCACUUAGUAAGCGAUAACACAGUAUUUCCUGGAAAAGCGUAUACAUACUAAGUCCUUGAAGCUAGGGCAUUAAUACGGAUUGAUGAAGACUAAGGCUGUCCUUCAUAUUAGUUUUUAUCACAUGUUAUCAACAAUGCGACAGCUGCAUGGCAUUUGGCUGUGCGAAAUUGCAUAUUUUUGAGAAAUGGAUGCUACGACCAUGUUUCAGCACUUACUUGUUGUCAUGGUGAUAUACGUGGCGAUGAAGAUCACACCACGUUACGUCACCGCUUCGCCAGAUUUGGACAACGUGCGUCACAUGUUUCCAGGUGUUUAUGACAACAAACUGCAGUACGAUCAUGACAAAGCUGUCAACACGUCCGAACCGCAGAUUCAUCAAUGGUUGACUGUAAAUAUUUCAGCCUGGAAAGAACAUCAAACAAACACCAGUGCUUAUUUCCUCUUCCGGGCAACAGAUCCGUAUAUAAAAUCUUUCAACGUUGAGAAAAUUUUCAGUGUUCAGGACUUCAAUUUCAGCAGAUUGAUGCUAUUUAGCGUGUACCACCGAGUGAUUGGUAAAGCAGGGGAGAUAACCGCACUUCAGGAUCUGCGAGACACUAACAAGUGUGAUAUGUUGUGGCAGAGAUCUGUGUACGGUUCCUAUCGUAAUGUGAAAAUGAUGCCUUGCCAAGUGGAUGGGAUCGAUGAUAAGUACACGGUGAACACAACGAUGGAACUUUCGGAAAGUUACCUUAAUGUGCUGGAGAUCUGGCUUACGCGUCACCGGAAGUUAAUCCUUCCAGGACCAAGGACCGCUUUUCAUUUCAUCAAACGGCAUAAACACAGGAGACCCGGUGGAUGAGAUGUUGGCGAGACUAUUCUUCCCGUCAUAAACAACUCUGUAUAGUGCCAAUCAGCACCAUCUUGUCUGUAUACUGUCAGUUCUAUUUAUUUACACACCUUUACGUCGUACUCAAGAAUAUUGUCGACGGGGUCAGCAUUGGGGUUGAGGGAAACUCGACAAAUCCCGGGGGAAACCCAUGGACAUUAUUAGUUUUGUAGAAGAACGAGUACGGCGUAAAACAUCAAUCAAAUAAGUCAAAUACCAAGCUGGCUUCCUCCCGGGACAUAGGUGGGAAGGUCUAUGGGCAAUUAAACUGCGGGUGGUCGUGGGUUUCCCCGGGCUCCACCAGGUUUCCUCCCACUAUGCAUAAUAUUGGCCGUCGUCGUACAAGUAAAAUAUUCAUGAAGACGGUGUAAAACACCAAUCAAAUAAAUGAAUAACUAAAUCAAAUAAAUAAAUGUCGACGAAUGAAAUCAAACAGCUCUGGGGCGUUUGUAAAUAAUUUGGUUUAAUGGAUCUUACCGAUCCACAAAAUGUCAAAACUUGUAUAUCUGUUUAUACUCAUUGAUAUGAAUGUGCUUUUUUAAUAUGUAUACGGCCUUAACCAAUGGAAGACAGGCAGAUUCCUGGUUCUAUUCCGAACCGUGUCAGCCUAAGGUAACAAAAUUUGGAUAUUUUAGCAGUUCAGUGAGGCAGCAUUAGAACAUUGUUGUUCUAGAUGAAUCUGAAUCAGAAUCUGCCUAAUAUACAGAAAAAUGUCGAAAUCAGUAUAAAGUUCCGAUUUAGAAACGAUAAACCUGUACAUAUAGCUUUAUUUUACAAAAUAUGUCCGCUUCAACCAAUGCUGUAAGAUAGGAAGGUCUGGAAAUUUUGGUAAACUGAGAAAAUUGUGUGGCGUUAAAGGCUCCCAAAAAGGGCAAAGUUUCAAUAU